rnacentral:piRNA from 1 species
UGAGAACAGUUACAGGGCUACGUUUUGNGCU